CUCUGCCCCCUUUGUCACAUGGGUCUGACAGACCCAUGGGUCUGACGGAGCAGCCGC
rnacentral:precursor_RNA from 1 species